UGCUGUGAAUAUUAUUCAUUUAUUGUAGAAACAUGGUCAAAAACAUUAAUUAUAUGUUGGCUAUAUUUGUUACGUUAAAUUCUAUAGGCUCUAUAUAUACCGGACCCUAUCGAAUAUCUCAUGUAAGAUCUUGUAUUAUCGAAAUGAGGAACCAUAAAUUUGUAGUAGGGUUUUAUGCAG